AGCGAACGCUGGCGGCAGGCCUAACACAUGCAAGUCGAACGGCUCCUUCGGGAUUAGUGGCGGACGGGUGAGUAACACGUGGGAACGUGCCCCUUGGUUCGGAACAACUCAGGGAAACUUGAGCUAAUACCGGAUGUGCCCUUCGGGGGAAAGAUUUAUCGCCAUUGGAGCGGCCCGCGUCUGAUUAGCUAGUUGGUGAGGUAAAGGCUCACCAAGGCGACGAUCAGUAGCUGGUCUGAGAGGAUGAUCAGCCACAUUGGGACUGAGACACGGCCCAAACUCCUACGGGAGGCAGCAGUGGGGAAUCUUGCGCAAUGGGCGAAAGCCUGACGCAGCCAUGCCGCGUGAAUGAUGAAGGUCUUAGGAUUGUAAAAUUCUUUUACCAGGGACGAUAAUGACGGUACCUGGAGAAAAAGCCCCGGCUAACUUCGUGCCAGCAGCCGCCGUAACAC
rnacentral:rRNA from 1 species